rnacentral:rRNA from 1 species
AACGUAGGAGACAAACGUUAUCCGGAGUUACUGGGCGUAAAGGGCGUGUAGGUGGUUUCGUAAGUCUGGCGUGAAAUUUUUCGGCUUAACCGGGAAAGGUCGUCGGAUACUGCGGAGCUAGAGGACGGUAGAGGCGUGUGGAAUUCCGGGUGUAGUGGUGAAAUGCGUAAAGAUCCGGAGGAACACCAGUGGCGAAGGCGACACGCUGGGCCGUACCUGACACUGAUGCGCGACAGCAUGGGGAGCAAACAGG